AUUGAACGCUGGCGGCAGGCCUAACACAUGCAAGUCGAACGAGUGGCGGACGGGUGAGUACUGUCUGGGACACUGCCUGAUGGAGGGGGCUCACUAAUGGACACAGUAGCUAAUACCGCAUACCAUCAUAUGUGCCCAGAGGGGAUUAGCUUUGUGGUUGGUUAACGGAUCACCAAGGCGACGAUCCCUAGCUGGUCUGAGAGGAUGACCAGACACACUGGAACUGAUACACGGUCCAGACUCCUACGGGAGGCAGCAGUGGGGAAUAUUGCACAAUGGGCGCAAGCCUGAUGCAGCCAUGCCGCGUGUAUGAAGAAGGCCUUCGGGUUGUAAAGUACUUUCAGCGGGGAGGCGUUACCCGCAGAAGAAGCACCGGCUAACUCCGUGCCAGCAGCCGCGGUAAUAC
rnacentral:rRNA from 1 species